GGAAUAUAAGAACCCGUCUUUUAACUUUUAACUAAAAAAGUUAAGAACCGGCUCCUAUUUAAGAACCGGUUCUUAGAUUUUUUAGUUAGAAGUUAAGAGACGGGUUCUUAUAUUCC
rfam:Brassica oleracea var. oleracea cultivar TO1000 chromosome C6, whole genome shotgun sequence